rnacentral:rRNA from 1 species
CAGUGGGGAAUAUUGCACAAUGGGCGUAAGCCUGAUGCAGCCAUGCCGCGUGUAUGAAGAAGGCCUUCGGGUUGUAAAGUACUUUCAGUCGUGAGGAAGAUGUUAAGGCUAAUAACCUUGGCAAUUGACGUUAGCGACAGAAGAAGCACCGGCUAACUCCGUGCCAGCAGCCGCGGUAAUACGGAGGGUGCGAGCGUUAAUCGGAAUU